AUAAAGAAGCUAGUGAAAUCAGGGAAACAUGCAGAGCUAUGGGGAGGAGCACAAAAGGGAGGUUCUAAUUUCAGUAUGAUGAACAAUCAGUUCAUGAACAUGCAAAUGGACAACUUUAAAGGUGGAAAAGACAACAAAGCUCAGAAGGGUGGUGGUGGUGGAAAUAAGGAACCACCAAAGGGGAAUGCUCAACAGUUUCUUCAGAUGAUGCAGAAUCUCAAAGGGUCAAAGGAUAAUUUCAAGAUGGCUAAUGUUCCUAAUCCCAAGGAUCAAAAAUCUGUGAAGUUCAAUCUGCCUGAGGAUGAAUUUGAUGAUGAAUCUGAUGACUUCGAUGAUGAAUCUGAUGAUUAUGAUGAUGAAUCUGAUGAUGAAUUUGGUGGCCCUCCACCUUCUAAAAUGAUGCCUGCUAUGGGGGGUGGGGGUGGUCAUGGAGCUCAUGGGCUUAAUGCUAUGAUGAUGAAGGGUGGGCCUAUGGGUAAUAAUGGUGGAAAUGGCAAGAAAGGUGGGGUUGAAAUCCCAGUACAAAUG
rnacentral:lncRNA from 1 species